rnacentral:rRNA from 1 species
UACGUAGGGUGCAAGCGUUAUCCGGAUUCACUGGGUUUAAAGGGUGCGUAGGUGGGUUUGUAAGUCAGUGGUGAAAUCUCCAAGCUUAACUUGGAAACUGCCGUUGAUACUAUAAAUCUUGAAUGUUGUGGAGGUGAGCGGAGUAUGUCAUGUAGCGGUGAAAUGCUUAGAUAUGACAUAGAACACCAAUUGCGAAGGCAGCUCACUACACAAAGAUUGACACUGAGGCACGAAAGCGUGGGGAUCAAACAGG